UGCCCAGCAACUCCUAUCCCUACCUCCUCGCGGUACUGGCCGGGGUACGCGUAACCUUGGGGAAGAUCGGGUAACCAACCCCCGGUUGGAACUUUGGUCGUAUGCUAACAGGGAAGG
rfam:Aedes aegypti strain Liverpool supercont1.479 genomic scaffold, whole genome shotgun sequence.